UACGGAAGGCAGCAGUGGGGAAUAUUGCACAAUGGGCGCAAGCCUGAUGCAGCCAUGCCGCGUGUAUGAAGAAGGCCUUCGGGUUGUAAAGUACUUUCAGUCGUGAGGAAGGUGUUAAGGUUAAUAACCUUAGCAAUUGACGUUAGCGACAGAAGAAGCACCGGCUAACUCCGUGCCAGCAGCCGCGGUAAUACGGAGGGUGCGAGCGUUAAUCGGAAUUACUGGGCGUAAAGGGCACGCAGGCGGUUAAUUAAGUUGGAUGUGAAAUCCCCGGGCUUAACCUGGGAAUGGCAUUCAAGACUGGUUAGCUAGAGUCUUGUAGAGGGGGUAGAAUUCCAUGUGUAGCGGUGAAAUGCGUAGAGAUGUGGAGGAAAUACCGGUGGGCGAAGGCGGCCCCGUGGACAAAGGACUGACGCUCAUGUGCGAAAGCGUGGGGAGCAAACGAGGGAUUAGAUACC
rnacentral:rRNA from 1 species